rnacentral:misc_RNA from 1 species
GGAGGAGAGAGAGGUUUGAGCAGGUUUGCCUUCUUCAUGCCUUGGAUUUUUCUAGUAAUAUAAUUUUUUUUAAAUUACUUCAUAAGUGGUAUUAAUGUAUGUGCUAAGGAAUAUAGAAAGGGAAAAAAAUAAUUGAGCAGCCAGUUUAUGUAGUGAAUCAUGGUAGAUUGGCCGUUAAGCUGAACUGUUUUUUAUGAAAUCCUGUUAAUCAAUGACUUUUUUUGGUAUUCUCAAAUGGCAUAUUGCUAUUUUGCUUGCUAACAAUUUCUCAUAUCAUAUGCAUUACAGCUAUCCUUGUAUUAUUUCUGACAUUUUAUCUAAAAUAAUUUUUCUAUCCUUGCAGGACAAGGGUGUUACUGGUGA